rnacentral:rRNA from 1 species
GUACACGCUGUGACUAGCAUAUCAAUAAGCGGAGGAAAAGAAACUAACAAGGAUUCCCCUAGUAACGGCGAGUGAAGCGGGAAGAGCUCAAAUUUGAAAUCUUAAAGGGUUUCCCUUUACGAAUUGUAGUUUAAAGAAGUGUUUUCUGUUGAGGUUUUGGUAAAAGUUCUUUGGAAUAGGACAUCAUAGAGGGUGAGAAUCCCGUAUUUGACCUUUACUUUCAACUUUGUGAUACACUUUCAAAGAGUCGGAUUGUUUGGGAAUGCGGUCCAAAAUGGGUGGUAAAUUUCAUCUAAAGCUAAAUAUUGGCGAGAGACCGAUAGCGAACAAGUACCGUGAGGGAAAGAUGAAAAGAACUUUGAAAAGAGAGUUAAACAGUACGUGAAAUUGUCAAAAGGGAAGCGUUUGACACCAGUGUUGUUUUUCUGAAAAUCAAUUAAAGAACUGUUUAUGCUAAGUUGUUUAGACUUUAUCAGCUAACUGUUUAGUUUUGAGCUUUUCUUUAAUGCACUUUUCAGUUAACAAGUCAACAUCAAUUUCUUUUGCUGUAAAAAAGCUUGAGGAAGGUGGCUUGAGAUUCGUCUUAAGUGUUUAUAGCCUCUUGCCUAUGCAGUCGGAGAGAUUGAGGUCUGCAGCGUAGAUCCUUCGGGGCUAAAUGCAUUUGUGCUAAGUUAUAGCAUUUUAUAGACAACUUGUUGACUAUGAUUUGUCUUGUAGCUUACUCGCUUAUGUUAUUUUACCUACGCUUAGGAUGUUGAAGUCAUCGUAUCGCGC